rnacentral:rRNA from 1 species
UGAGGAAUAUUGGUCAAUGGGCGAGAGCCUGAACCAGCCAAGUAGCGUGCAGGAUGACGGCCCUAUGGGUUGUAAACUGCUUUUAUGUGGGGAUAAAGUGCGUGACGUGUCAUGCAUUGCAGGUACCACAUGCAUAAGGACCGGCUAAUUCCGUGCCAGCAGCCGCGGUAAUACGGAAGGUCCGGGCGUUAUCCGGAUUUAUUGGGUUUAAAGGGAGCGUAGGCUGUCGAUUAAGCGUGUUGUGAAAUUUACCGGCUCAACCGGUGGCUUGCAGCGCGAGCUGGUCGACUUGAGUAUGCAGGAAGUAGGCGGAAUUCAUGGUGUAGCGGUGAAAUGCUUAGAUAUCAUGACGAACUCCGAUUGCGCAGGCAGCUUACUGUAGCAUAACUGACGCUGAUGCUCGAAAGGGCGGGUAUCAAACAGG